CUUUUCUCUUUUUUAGAUGGAAGGUUCCCCAUUUUUAUUUUUACAUCACGUUCUUCCUCAUACAGUUUUCUUCAACAGUACCAAGAGUCGUAUUUUUAAGAAAGUGUCUCUAAAUUUUCUUUGCUUUUGUAGGACUAUGUCAUUUCUGAUGAUCAUUAAUUGGUAUGCCUAACUCUCCCCUUUGACCCAGGUAUUACUAAUAUUGACUGAAAGAUGGAAAAUUUCAAAGAUGGAAAAUUUGGAUUACUGCUGUGUCUUUACCAUUGAGUCCCAGGAAAUAACUUGCCCAGUUUCAUAAAUUCUUAGACGUUGGUUUCUCUUGUGAUUGUCAAGUCUUUGGUGUUCUUUACUUUAUUCACCUGGACCACUUGAGUUGUUAUUCAUCGAACACACACGUGUGUGUGACAUGAAGUAUAACUUGUUCACCCUUACUUUUGGUGGUAAUAAAAUU
rnacentral:lncRNA from 10 species